UACGGGGGGGGCAAGCGUUGUUCGGAAUUACUGGGCGUAAAGGGCUUGUAGGUGGCCAACUAAGUCAGACGUGAAAUCCCUCGGCUUAACCGGGGAACUGCGUCUGAUACUGGAUGGCUAGAGUUUGGGAGAGGGAUGCAGAAUUCCUGGUGUAGCGGUGAAAUGCGCAGAUAUCAGGAGGAACACCAGCGGCGAAGGCGGCGCUCUGGGCCGGUACUGACACUGAGGAGCGAAAGCGUGGGGAGCAAACAGG
rnacentral:rRNA from 1 species